GACGAAUGCUGGCUGCGUGCUUAACACAUGCAAGUCGAACGGUGAACAGGGGCUUGCCCCUGGGAUCAGUGGCGAACGGGUGAGUAACACGUGGGCAACCUGCCCCUCACUCUGGGAUAAACUCCGGGAAACCGGGGCUAAUACCGGAUACGACCAGGCACGACAUCGGGUCUGGUGGAAAGAACUUCGGUGAGGGAUGGGCCCGCGGCCUAUCAGCUUGUUGGUGAGGUAAUGGCUCACCAAGGCGACGACGGGUAGCCGGCCUGAGAGGGCGACCGGCCACACUGGGACUGAGACACGGCCCAGACUCCUACGGGAGGCAGCAGUGGGGAAUAUUGCGCAAUGGGCGAAAGCCUGACGCAGCGACGCAGCGUGAGGGACGAAGGCCUCGGGUUGUAACCGUCUUUCUAGCGGGACGAAGACGAAAGUGACGGUA
rnacentral:rRNA from 1 species